UACAGAGGUCUCAAGCGUUGUUCGGAUUCAUUGGGCGUAAAGGGUGCGUAGGCGGUGAGGUAAGUCUGGUGUGAAAUCCCGGGGCUCAACCCCGGAACUGCACUGGAUACUGCCUUACUUGAGCACUGGAGAGGGAACUGGAAUUUACGGUGUAGCAGUGAAAUGCGUAGAGAUUGGGAGGAACACCAGAGGCGAAGGCGGCGACCUGGACAAGCACUGACACUCAACUACGAAAGCGUGGGGAGCAAACAGG
rnacentral:rRNA from 1 species